GACGAACGCUGGCGGCGUGCUUAACACAUGCAAGUCGAACGGAAAGGCCCUGCUUUUGUGGGGUGCUCGAGUGGCGAACGGGUGAGUAACACGUGAGUAACCUGCCCUUGACUUUGGGAUAACUUCAGGAAACUGGGGCUAAUACCGGAUAGGAGCUCCUGCUGCAUGGUGGGGGUUGGAAAGUUUCGGCGGUUGGGGAUAGACUCGCGGCUUAUCAGCUUGUUGGUGGGGUAGUGGCUUACCAAGGCUUUGACGGGUAGCCGGCCUGAGAGGGUGACCGGCCACAUUGGGACUGAGAGACGGCCCAGACUCCUACGGGAGGCAGCAGUGGGGAAUAUUGCACAAUGGGCGGAAGCCUGAUGCAGCAACGCCGCGUGCGGGAUGACGGCCUUCGGGUUGUAAACCGCUGUCGCCUGUGACGAAGCGUGAGUGACGGUAAUGGGUAAAGAAGCACCGGCUAACUACGUG
rnacentral:rRNA from 1 species